CGCAAAAUUAGUGAAAAAGUAAUUUUCCGUGAGAAGUUUUCUUGUUAUAUUUUGUUUAACUUGAAAACCACGAAGGCGAAUUCGACAAAUGUGAUUACUUAGGUGUUGGUGCGCGAUUCUACGCGAAAUUUUAACCCGUUAACGAAACGAAAGGUAAAUGUAGGACACGUUCCAUAAUGCGGUUUGCCAAAAAGUAGUUGAUUGUUGGAUAAAUAACAAAAAAAAUGGUUUUCCAUUCUUCAUAACAAAUAUUUCAAACGACAUAUUUUACGUUUCUACUUGGUACUGCUAGAUAAUUCAAUUCAUUUAAACGUACGAUGAAAUUUUCCAAUAUUUUAAAUCAAAUAAAUUUUUCUCCAUCCAUUAUUCCAAAAUAUAUGCUGAUAAAUUGAUAUUUUUCCCAAAAAUUGAAUGUAACACAAUUUCAAUAUGAUAUACGAGGAAUAUCCACUAAGAAAGUUCCAUUUGGUUAUAAAAGAACAUACGAGCAGGUCAAAAAACAUAUUUUUCAUGCUGUUAACCUAAUUUUCUAUGUAGUUUCGAAAAUUUUUCUUCCGGCUCGUUUCAACUUUUAGCGAGAGAUUUCAGGUAUAAGAAGAGAUGAAAGUCGGUAGGAGUGAGGUCCGAGCUAUACGGAGGAUGAUCAAACACACCCCAGCCAAAUUCUUGGAGCGGUUUUUUUGUCACGUCACAGUGGGAGAUGGGGCAUUAUCGUGAAAAAAAAAACAAAAACCAUUUGACAGUAAUCCUCGGAGUUUGCCCUGUUUCUUAAUUUCCACGCAUGUGCCUAAAUCAAACGGCAAAACGUCGGAGCAAACGGUGGAAAUGAGUUGUCGAGGUGUCGAAAUUUGCUUAGGGGUAUCGUAAGAUACCAAAAUUUCAUCCCCUAUGACUAUUCGAAAUAUAGGUUAGAAAAGGAACUUAAAUUGUGGAUGUACCUCGUAUGAAGGAAAUACUAAAAUCAGUUAUUAAAACUUUUUAUUCAAAUUUUUCUGAAAUUUUCGGUCCGAAUUAUUGCAUCAAAUUUUGAUUGAAAUGAUUUUUUUUGUUAUUUAUUGAGUGAGCAGAACUUUGAUCAGAUGUUGUUGGUUUUUGUGUUUUUUGGAAUCCUAAGAAUAUUUUGUUGAGAUUAAUACAGUUACAGAUUUAAUUAUUGAAGAAAAAUAGAUUGAAUUUAUUUUUGAAUAACUUUUUUAACAUUCAGAAAGUUUUAACAAAUAUCCAAAUUUCGACUACUCCCUUACAUUCAAACAGAAGAUUGUUAAUAUUUAUGACUAAAACUAAUUUUUCUCAUUAUAUGAUACUGAUCAAAUAAAAUCUUGACGUUGUUAUUUUGGAUUGAUCAAUUCUUUUCAGCGUUUACUGUAACACAUUUAAGUCCAGUAAAUAUUUGAUGAAUAAUUAUGAUGAUAAUCAUAUGAUAGAAUUGCUCGAAUACACCUCAAAUUCACUUUGAUUCGAAAUAGUAGUACAUGGAUCCUUCUGAUCAAUAUAAAUGAUAAUUAGAUAAUUGAGUAACUUGAAGAUGCGAUUUCCAUUCAAAUGACUUUCCGAGUAAUCUGUUGAGAUUUUCCUGAUCUUUGAGAACAAAUCUGUUGGGUUAAUGAGAUGAUUGUGUGAUGAAUGUCAUAAAUGAGGUAGGCAACCGCCGCGAUAUGGAAAAGUGAUUCGUAAUUUUCGGUAUCGAUUUCGCUGUGUCGCGAAUCGGUUUUAAGUGAUGGAUAUCAUGGAAAUGGAAAAUGGAUAUGGAGGCUUUCCUAUGUGGACAAAGUUAUGUGUUUGUGCGCGAUUCGACGCGAAAUUUUAACCCGUUAACGAAACGAAAAAUAUAUAGUGUGCGAAUCGAUAAAGCGGUUUGCCAAAAGGAAGGUGAUUGUUGAAUAAAUAACAAUAAAACAUAUUUCUUCAAUUUUUAUAACAAAUAUGUAUUUCAAACUACAAAUAUGUGUUUCUAAAAUGGAAAUGCUGUUGUAUCAGGAAUAUAUAAAUACAUGUAAAAUUCUAUUUUCUAUUAUCGUUUUUCUGUGUCAAGUUUCUUUCCAAAACUUAACCUGUCUGAAAAAAAAAUUUUUUAUGUAAUAAAUUUUUUACAAAUUAAAAUUACAAAUAUAAAAAAAUUAUAGAUAUCUGGAGAAUAAUAUUUGUAUGAAUUUGUCUUUUUAUGUUUGGUAUUUUCAGUUAAGUAAAUUGAAAGUAUGUGUGUGAUAAUUAUUGUAUCUUGUAUGCGUGUGUAAAAAAUUCCGUUUUGCAAUCUUCAUAUCGAUGGCUACUUCAUUUGUUAUAAAUUUUCGUUUUUCUCUCCCAAACUGGACCUGAAAUUUAAAAAUAUAAAAUGUUGUAAACUUCGAAUAUGUGAAUUACUUUGAUAAUAAUUGAAUGAUAAAAUAAUUAUACCCUGUUUUGUUCUUAUGCAGAAAUUGAUAAAAUUGAAUUCUUCGAGAUGAAAAUUACAUUUUUUUAAUAAUAAUUCGAAAAAAAAAACAUAUUUUCUGGACAUUUUAUUUUAUAAUCGACUGUGAACAAUUUAUUCAAACGUCAAUUGUUUCUAAGUCAUAUCAACCCUUAAAAAAAGAAAACUGCAUCUGUUUCUUUUUUAAUUUUGAAUGUUUUCUGCUCAAGUUAGUUAAAUUAAAUGGAAAAUUUUUUCAAACGUAAAUUAUUUCUAAUAUAUAUCAAUCAUUUAAAAAAAACACUGAAUCUGUUUAUUUUUAAUAUUCUCUGAUCAAGUUAAUAGAAGAAAGUAUGUAUGUAAUAAUGAUAAAUACCUUUUACGGAAUGGAAAUUUUCCAAAGUCCAUCAAAUAGGAAGCAAACUUGUGUGAAAAAUCAAGUUUUCCAAUCUUCAUAUCGACAGCUAUUUCAUUUGUUAUAAAUUUUCGUCUUUCUUUCCCAAACUGGACCUGAAAUUUAAAAAUAUAAAAUAUUGUAAAAUUCGGAUCUGUGGAUUACUUUGAUAAUUGAUUGAUAAAAUUAUUAUACACUGUUUUUUUCUUAUGCAGAACUUAAUAAAAUUGAAUUUUUCAAAAUGAAAAUCACAUUUUUUUAAUAAUAAUUCGAAAAAAAACAUAUUUUCUGGACAUUUUAUUUUAUAAUCGACUGUGAACAAUUUAUUCAAACGUUGAUUGUUUCUAAGUUAUAUCAACUCUUAAAAAAGAAAACUGUAUCUGUUUCUUUUUUAAUUUUGAAUGUUUUCUGCUCAAGUUAGUUGAAUGUAUAUGUGUAAUAAUAUAUUUUGCAAAAUAAAAGAUUUUCUCAAGAGUUUAUCGAAUAUCGAUAGCUACUUCAUUUGUUAUAAAUUUUCAUCAUUCCUACCCAUUUUAGACUUGAAAUUUGAAAAGAUAAAAUGUAAUAACUAUCUAAGGUAAACUUCGAAUUUUACUUAGACAAUUGAAUAAUAAAAUCAUAAUAUAUCGUUUUUUCUAAUGCAGAACUUUACAUAAUUAAAUUAUUGGAAACUGAAAUUCCAUUUUACCAAUAAUCAUUUGAGAAAAAACAUCUUCUGGACUAUUUUAUUAUAGAAUUGACUUGGAAAAUUUUUUCAAACGUAAAUUAUUUCUAAUAUAUAUCAAUCAUUUAAAAAAAAAAACACUGAAUCUGUUUAUUUUUAAUAUUCUCUGAUCAAGUUAUUAGAAGAAAGUAUAUAUGUAAUGAUGAUAAAUACCUUUUACGGAAUGGAAAUUUUCCAAAGUCCAUCAAAUAGGAAGCAAACUUGUGUGAAAAAUCAAGUUUUCCAAUCUUCAUAUCGACAGCUAUUUCAUUUGUUAUAAAUUUUCGUCUUUCUUUCCCAAACUGGACCUGAAAUUUAAAAAUAUAAAAUAUUGUAAAUUUCGGAUCUGUGGAUUACUUUGAUAAUUGAUUGAUAAAAUUAUUAUACACUGUUUUGUUCUUAUGCAGAAAUUUAUAAAAUUAAAUUUUUCGAAACUAAAAUUCCAUAUU